GUGAGGAAUUUUCCGCAAUGGGCGAAAGCCUGACGGAGCAAUGCCGCGUGAAGGAUGAAGGCCUAUGGGUUGUAAACUUCUUUUCUCAGAAAAGAAUUAUGACGGUAUCUGAGGAAUAAGCAUCGGCUAACUCUGUGCCAGCAGCCGCGGUAAGACAGAGGAUGCAAGCGUUAUCCGGAAUGAUUGGGCGUAAAGCGUCUGUAGGUUGUUUAAAAAGUAUUCUGUCAAAGAUUAGGGCUUAACCCUAGAUAGGAAGAAUAAACUUUUAAGCUAGAGUUUGGUAGAGGCAGAGGGAAUUCCCGGUGGAGCGGUGAAAUGCGUAGAUAUCGGGAGGAACACCAAAGGCGAAGGCACUCUGCUGGGCCAAUACUAACACUGAGAGACGAAAGCGAGGGGAGCAAAUGGGAUUAGAUACCCUGGUAGUCC
rnacentral:rRNA from 1 species